rnacentral:tRNA from 1 species
GGCCUAAUAGCUCAACUGAUAGAGCACUGCAUUGCCAUUGCAGAGGUCAGGGUUUGAGUCUCCAUUCAGGCCU